rnacentral:rRNA from 1 species
UACGGAGGAUGCGAGCGUUAUCCGGAUUUAUUGGGUUUAGAGGGUGCGUAGGCGGACUGUCAAGUCAGCGGUAAAAUUGAGAGGCUCAACCUCUUCCCGCCGUUGAAACUGGUGGUCUUGAGUGGAUGAGAAGUACGCGGAAUGCGUGGUGUAGCGGUGAAAUGCAUAGAUAUCACGCAGAACUCCGAUUGCGAAGGCAGCGUACCGGCAUCCAACUGACGCUGAGGCACGAAAGCGUGGGGAUCAAACAGG